UACGGAGGGUGCAAGCGUUGUCCGGAAUUAUUGGGCGUAAAGGGCGUGUAGGCGGCUUUGCAAGUCUGGUGUGAAAGCCCCCGGCUCAACCGGGGAAGUGCAUCGGAAACUGCAAGGCUUGAGUGCGGGAGAGGGAGGUGGAAUUCCCAGUGUAGCGGUGAAAUGCGUAGAUAUUGGGAGGAACACCGGUUGCGAAGGCGGCCUCCUGGACCGUCACUGACGCUGAGACGCGAAAGCGUGGGGAGCAAACAGGAUUAGAUACCCCCGUAGUCC
rnacentral:rRNA from 1 species